ensembl:lincRNA
CGCCGUCUCUGGUGACGUGCCUGUUCCCCUUCGCUGCCUGUUUUUUUUUUUUUUUUCUUAAAAAUUGGGUGGUUUUCCUUUUGCUGUGGAUUUGUUGGAGUUCCUUAGCGAUGCUACCCGUGCGGUCUGUCGGAUGUGUGUGACUUGACUUUUUUCUCCGCUAAUUGUGGUGUGACUAAUCGCGGAAUGAAUUAAGCUGCAGGAGAGAAAAGGGACCAUCUCACGUGAUUUCUGUUCUCCGACCUGUGCUGAGGCUUGUGGGUCGUGGUGCAAGCUGUGGUGUGGGCGUGCGUGCCCCGUGCCCCAAGGGAUGGGUGUUCUGUGUGCCGUGCCGAGCGUGGCGUCCCGUGGCUAUGCACCGGUCGUGUCUCCUCACAUCUGCACCUGUGCUGGCUCUGCCUCGUUGGCCUGGCACUGACUGUGGGAGGACCGCGGAGAGGGCAGGUCCGCGCGUGGACGUGGCCUCUCGAGGAACAGCUGUCUUUGCGGAUAUUCCCGAGGACGUCCCACCUGGAUCAUCAUGUCCUCUGCAAACACGGGUACUUUUCUUUCUUCCUUUCAGGAGGCUGUGCGGCAUUCAGACCGAUUCUUCGAAGAUGUGCUGCGAUUCUCCCGUGAAGUCAUCUGGGCCGGAAAAAGUCUUUGUGUGGAGUUUUAAAAUCAGGAAUUCGAUUUUCUGGCAAGUGGAGGGCUAUUCAGAUCGUCUGGUUCCUGCGGGAUUAGUUGUGGCAGCCUGUAGUUUCCGAGGAGUUGGCCCGUUUCAUCUAAAGCGUCGCACAGGUGUGUAGAGGCGGUCGUGACCUUCGCUUCUUGUCCUUUGACGCUGGCAGGGGCCGUGGCGAGAUCCCACUUCCGUUCCCGAGUUAAUAAUCGGUGUCUUCUGUCUCGUGCCGGCUCCGUCACGCUGGGCGUCCCCUUCCCAGUGCCCACGCCUUUCCUUUCUUCUCCUGAUCUCUCUGCGCCGAGAACGUCGGCCCGAGGCUCAGCAGGACUACGCUGGGCCGUCAGUCUCCCGGGGAAAGCAAGCAGUUUCUUACGACUAAGAAUGACGUUCGCUGGUUGUGUGUUUUGGUUGUUGUUUUGUUUUUGUUUUUAAUGAUCGGUUUAAGGGAGCUCCUUUCCAGGCCUAGGUAGGACUGUAUUUCAUUCCGCUUCCUUCUAGCUGAGUGACGGCGUCGGCCCAGAAGCGGGGAACGGUGUUGGCGCGCCUCUCAGGACGGAGCCCGGAGCGGACGGCCUGCGCCCUCUCCGUGUCUAGGUUUUCCCUCUGGUAUGGUGACUGGGGACCUCCUGGGGUGCCUGUUCGAUCAUCUAGAUUCCUGCAUGACCGUGAGGUCCAGUGUGCCCUGUAAUCUGUGGAGGAAGUCGCAAUAAUCACGAAUCACGACAUAAAUUGGACGUUUUAAGACCCUGAGAUCUUAAGGCUGUUUGGUGACGCAGCAUCAACCAGCUGAUGUUGGACGACACCUUCGGUAUGUGCAAAGUUUGCCUCAUGAAAGGGAUAUGACGCUUUUGGAACAUAUUCUAAAAACUAAGUUAAAGCUGCUUAUAUGGGGGUGCCUGGGUGGCUCAGCGGGUUAAAGCCUCUGCCUUUGGCUCCGGUCAUGAUCCCAGGGUCCUGGGAUCGAACCCCGCAUUGGGCUCCUUGCUCGGCAAGCGGGGAGCCUGCCUGCUUCUCUCUCCACCUCUGCCUGUCUCUCUGCCUACUUGUGAUCUCUCUGUCAAAAAAAAAAAAUAAAAAAAAAAAAAAAAAACCAACUGCCUGUAUGAGCAUUUCACCGGUCUCCUAGCUAUUGAAGUUUUGAUGUUUCCUAACACGGAAAUGUCCUUGACUCUCUGGGUUGAAUCAUGAUGUGUUGAAUUCAUUGUUAGAGUCAACCUGCUAAUAAAUUAUUUAGAGGUUUGGGUCUUUAUCCCCAGAGGGGAGGGACAUCCUUCUCUCCCUUCUCCUGGGUCCUCCUCCUCUGGGUUGGCCGUAGGCCAGUGCAGCAAGUUCCCGUCUAUGUCUACACGCCCGGACGACCGGAUGAGCCAGGAGUCGCCUGAUCGCAGCCGGCUGAUGUCUGGGGCUGCUCUUUAUUUUCUGUAGCUGUUCUUUAAAAAAUUAAAAAAAUAGGGGACCCUGGGCGGCUCGGGUCAUGAUCUCAGGGUCGUGAGGUCAAGCCCGGCAUUGGGCCCCACACUCAGCGCGGAGCCUGCUUGGGUCUCUCUCUCCCUCGGCCCCUCCCGCCGGUGCCCGGUGCGCGCCUGUUCUCCGAGUCACGGCACCACGUUCGCAGGAGCCGAGACGGGCGGCAGCCUGCAUCCUGCUGGGCAUGAGCGGGUGAGGGAGACGCGGUACGCAGACAGCACGGAGCCCUGCCCGUCCCGAACGCAGACGGAGUCUCGCCGUUUGUGACGACACGCGCUGACCCAGAGGAUGCUGAGCAGGACAGAGGAGAAGAAACACUAUUUGAUCGCACGUGAAUGUGGAAUCUGAGAAACACAUGGAAAAAUAAAUCACGAACAAAAACACAGACUCACAAAUACAGAGAACGCACUGGUGGUUGCCAGCGUGGGGGCCAACCCGGGGGAGGGGAGGAGGGGUACGGCCUCUAGCUAUGGCAGGAGGAGCCGUGCGGACGAGACGUGCCGCGCGGGGGGCACCGUCAGACGUGCCGACACGACCACCGCGCCAGCUUCCAGGGUGGAGCGCUGUGCUGGGUACUCGGUUCUCGAGGCCGCUGGGCCGGACCCCUGAGGCUGAUAUUCCAUCGCGGCUCGUCUAUGCCUCCGUUCAAAAAUUUAAAAAAUAUAUAUAUUUUAAAUUAAUUGUUAAAGUUUUCCUUUUAGCUCAAAUGGUGAUUAGUGUUUUUCCAGAAGUGUAUCUAUAACACAUGUAUCUAAUUUUACACAAAUAAAAAUAGGUGUAUAUAUUGUAUCUAAGUUGUUCCUUUUUAAAGAUUUUAUUUAUUUAUUUGACA